UUACUGGGCGUAAAGCGCGCGUAGGUGGCUGAUAAGCCGGGUGUGAAAGCCCCGGGCUCAACCUGGGAACGGCAUCCGGAACUGUCAAGCUAGAGUGCAGGAGAGGAAGGUAGAAUUCCCGGUGUAGCGGUGAAAUGCGUAGAGAUCGGGAGGAAUACCAGUGGCGAAGGCGGCCUUCUGGACUGACACUGACACUGAGGUGCGAAAGCGUGGGUAGCAAACAGGAUUAGAUACCCUGGUAGUCCACGCCGUAAACGAUGUCGACCAGCCGUUGGGUGCCUAGCGCACUUUGUGGCGAAGUUAACGCGAUAAGUCGACCGCCUGGGGAGUACGGCCGCAAGGUUAAAACUCAAAUGAAUUGACGGGGGCCCGCACAAGCGGUGGAGCAUGUGGUUUAAUUCGAUGCAACGCGAAGAACCUUACCUACUCUUGACAUCCUGCGAAUUUGGUAGAGAUACCUUAGUGCCUUCGGGAACGCAGAGACAGGUGCUGCAUGGCUGUCGUCAGCUCGUGUUGUGAAAUGUUGGGUUAAGUCCCGUAACGAGCGCAACCCUUGUCCUUAUUUGCCAGCGCGUAAUGGCGGGAACUCUAAGGAGACUGCCGGUGACAAACCGGAGGAAGGUGGGGACGACGUCAAGUCAUCAUGGCCCUUACGAGUAGGGCUACACACGUGCUACAAUGGUCGGUACAAAGGGUUGCCAACUCGCGAGAGUGAGCCAAUCCCGAAAAGCCGAUCUCAGUCCGGAUCGGAGUCUGCAACUCGACUCCGUGAAGUCGGAAUCGCUAGUAAUCGUGGAUCAGAAUGCCACGGUGAAUACGUUCCCGGGCCUUGUACACACCGCCCGUCACACCAUGGGAGUGGAC
rnacentral:rRNA from 1 species